UUAAAUUGAAGAGUUUGAUCAUGGCUCAGAUUGAACGCUGGCGGCAGGCCUAACACAUGCAAGUCGAACGGUAACAGGAAACAGCUUGCUGUUUCGCUGACGAGUGGCGGACGGGUGAGUAAUGUCUGGGAAACUGCCUGAUGGAGGGGGAUAACUACUGGAAACGGUAGCUAAUACCGCAUAACGUCGCAAGACCAAAGAGGGGGACCUUCGGGCCUCUUGCCAUCGGAUGUGCCCAGAUGGGAUUAGCUAGUAGGUGGGGUAACGGCUCACCUAGGCGACGAUCCCUAGCUGGUCU
rnacentral:rRNA from 1 species